rnacentral:rRNA from 1 species
UACGUAGGGGGCAAGCGUUGUCCGGAAUCAUUGGGCGUAAAGAGCGUGUAGGCGGCCCGAUAAGUCCGCCGUGAAAGCCCAGGGCUCAACCCUGGGGUGCCGGCGGAUACUGUCGGGCUAGAAUCCGGAAGAGGCGAGUGGAAUUCCUGGUGUAGCGGUGAAAUGCGCAGAUAUCAGGAGGAACACCGAUGGCGAAGGCAGCUCGCUGGGACGGUAUUGACGCUGAGACGCGAAAGCGUGGGGAGCAAACAGG